rnacentral:tRNA from 1 species
GCCUGGGUGGCUCAGUCGGUUAAGCGUCUGACUUCAACUCAGGUCAUGAUCUGAUCUCGCAGUCUGUGAGUUCGAGCCCCGCGUCGGGCU